rnacentral:lncRNA from 1 species
UUACUAUCCCACCAGAUGUCACACCCCAAUAAUUCUAUAGCGGAUAAGAAUGGAGAUGUGAUUAGAUAUAUAUAAGAUUUAGACACUAGUAAUAAUAACUGGGUUUAAACAUUUUGGGUCGGUGGUUGGGCCCAACGAGUUAUUGUUGUUAGUGGGCUGAGUCGUUACAAUUGGUAUCAGAGCCAAUCACCAGCCGAAAAUGUGUGGCGAGUUUCGGCUGAGUCUGGGUCUGAAAGACAAGAUGAUAGGUUAUGCCAGGGUCUUGAUGACAAGACUAGCAAGAUGAGUCUCACACUCGCUUGGUGAUUUUGGACUGUGUGUGUGAUUGGACUGACAAGGACGUCAGAAACUUAAUCGGAAAAAUCUAUCACACCCUAAUAAUCCCACAUCGGAUAGGAAUGGAAAUGUGAUUGGGUAUAUCAUAUUCCAAUAAUCCCACAUCGGAUAUGAAUGGAGAUGUGAUUGGGUAUAUAAGAGAUUUACACACUAGUAAUAAUAACUGGGCUUAAGCAUUUUGGGCUGGUGGUUGGGUCCAACGAGUUAUUCUUGCUAGUGGGUUUGGUCGUUACACUAGGUUUAUUACUAGGUCAAACUUGAGAAGCUAGAAGUG